GGGCUUGACAUCCCACGAACCUGCCCGAAAGGGUAGGGUGCCCGCAAGGGAGCGUGGAGACAGGUGGUGCACGGCUGUCGUCAGCUCGUGUCGUGAGAUGUUGAGUUAAGUCCCGCAACGAGCGCAACCCUCGCCCCUUGUUGCCACCGGGUUAUGCCGAGCACUCUAGGGGAACUGCCAGCGUCAAGCUGGAGGAAGGCGGGGAUGACGUCAAGUCAUCAUGCCCCUUACGCCCUGGGCGACACACGUGCUACAAUGGCUGGUACAAAGGGAUGCAAGACCGCGAGGUGGAGCUAAUCCCAAAAAACCGGUCUAAGUUCAGAUUGCAGUCUGCAACUCGACUGCAUGAAGGAGGAAUCGCUAGUAAUCGCGCAUCAGCACGGCGCGGUGAAUACGUUCCCGGGCCUUGUACACACCGCCCGUCACACCACGAAAGCCGGCUGUACUCGAAGUCGCUGAGA
rnacentral:rRNA from 1 species